rnacentral:rRNA from 1 species
GAUGAACGCUGACAGAAUGCUUAACACAUGCAAGUCAUUGGCGAAGCUGCGCUUGCGCAGUCUAGCCAAGGCGGACGGGUGAGUAACGCGUAAGGAACUUGCCCUGCAGACAGGGAUAACAGACGGAAACGACUGAUAACACCUGGUAUUGUCAGGCUGGCGCAUGCCGGCCUGAUGAAAGGAGACGCUGCAGGAGAGCCUUGCGUCCUAUCAGCUAGUUGGUGGGGUAACGGCCCACCAAGGCGAUGAUAGGUAGCCGGCCUGAGAGGGUGAACGGCCACAAGGGGACUGAGAUACGGCCCUUACUCCUACGGGAGGCAGCAGUGGGGAAUAUUGGACAAUGGGGGCAACACUGAUCCAGCAAUUCUGUGUGCACGAAGAAGGUUUUCGGAUUGUAAAGUGCUUUCAGCAGGGAAGAAGAAAGUGACGGUACCUGCAGAAGAAGCGACGGCUAAAUACGUG